rnacentral:lncRNA from 1 species
UCUUUGAUUUAGUCAUCAGGAAAAGUUCCCUUAAUCAGCUUUGCUUUACCUUAACUGGGAAAUUUGUUUCAGUUUACAGGGGUUACGUGCUGCCUGGUGAAGUUCAUGUCUGAGCAACCCCUCUUCUGAAGGAAACUCCAAAAAAACAGUUGGUUUCUGGCAGCUGCCCCUUUAUGAAGUUGUGCCUUCUGGGUCAGAGAUGAAAGGAGCUGGCUGUAACCCUGUGCAACUGAAACCCUUUUUCCGAAGGCUUUAGCAGACCAAGCUGCUGAUGGAACUGAAAGGAAAAAAUGAUAU